UGAGGAAUAUUGGGCAAUGCCCGCAAGGGUGACCCAGCAACGCCGCGUGGAGGAUGAAAGCCGUAAGGUUGUAAACUCCUGUGAGAAGGGAUGAAUGAUUUUGUUUCGUAAGGGACAGAAUUUGACCGUACCUUCAGAGGAAGCCCCGGCUAACUACGUGCCAGCAGCCGCGGUAAUACGUAGGGGGCAAGCGUUGUCCGGAUUUACUGGGUGUAAAGGGUGCGCAGGUGGGUCGGUAAGUCAGAGGUGAAAUCCUGCAGCUUAACUGCAGAACUGCCUUUGAUACUGCUGAUCUUGAGUUCAGAAGAGAUAAGCGGAAUUCCAGGUGUAGUAGUGAAAUACGUAGAUAUCUGGAAGAACACCGGUGGCGAAGGCGGCUUAUUGGUCUGAUACUGACACU
rnacentral:rRNA from 1 species